rnacentral:rRNA from 1 species
UCGGGAAUUUUGGGCAAUGGGCGAAAGCCUGACCCAGCAACGCCGCGUGAAGGAUGAAGUAUUUCGGUAUGUAAACUUCGAAAGAAUAGGAAGAAUAAAUGACGGUACUAUUUAUAAGCCCCGGCAAACUUCGUGCCAGCAGCCGCGGUAAUACGAAGGGGGCUAGCGUUGUUCGGAAUUACUGGGCGUAAAGCGCACGUAGGCGGAUUGUUAAGUCAGAGGUGAAAUCCCGGAGCUCAACUUCGGAACUGCCUUUGAUACUGGCAAUCUAGAGUCCGGAAGAGGUUAGUGGAAUUCCCUGUGUAGCGGUGAAAUGCGUAGAUAUCGGAAGGAACAUCAGUUGCGAAGGCGGCUCUCUGGACUCAAACUGACGCUGAGGCACGAAAGCGUGGGUAGCGAACAGGAUUAGAUACCCCAGUAGUCCCUGAGCGGGCUGGCAAGGCGCAU